rnacentral:lncRNA from 1 species
CAACAUCAAGCAACAACAAAAUAUUACACCUGAUACGACAUCAAGCUAUACAGGAACUAUUAGACCACCCAAAUUAUUGAAGCUUCAGAAUUUGUGUCUGGGUCCAUGCCUAAUAAACUGGAAGAAAACCAAAAGAUACUUAUUGAUAUGAAUCAACUUGGUUAAGUAUGGUCAAAUACAAUGCACGGUGGAAUAUCUACCCUGGAAAACAAAAGAAAAGGAGAUGGAAGAAAUCAUGUACUCAAUGGGUGGUUGUAAGUUCACGGGUAUCAAGACUUGGCUCACAUAUCAUUGAUCAUGGGUCUGUGUCAAUAUGGCUCCGGUGCCCAGUUUAUCACGGUGUUUUGUUAUUAUUUCCGAGAUAGUACUUUCUAUUAUAGUGUUGAGAUAAGCAAUUUAGAUGUUUUAAAUAUUCCCAGCUCUUUGGAUAAGAAGUAUUUCAGUAACUGAAUAAUCUUUGACCGUCCAAAAGAACUACGAUGUUUCUUUGGGAAUAACAGCAGAACAAAAAAUCCGAGAAUCAUGGCUGACCUAUGAGGCACAGAUGUUGUCGAGGACCUAGCUGGCAAACCAGUGCCAGAAGACGACCUUGAACCAUGCCUCCUCUCCUUUGCGCAACCUUGAAACCACGAGUAAUUACCUGGCAUUAUUUCAUUAUCUCAGCUGGUUUUAUGACUUCAAACAUAUGAGAGUACUCUAACAUGUAAAAUAAUUCUUUCUCAGGUUCCAAAUAAGUCAACAGUAGGUCAAAAAUAGAGGUGAAACAUUGCCAGGCAGGCAGACACACAACAACAGCCGAUGAUUAUAGCUUAAGGUCCAAUGAGGAUAAUAUAAGUAGUGGAAAACGGAAUUUUGUAUCCACAUCCCUAUUGAUCAAGGAGUAAGUCAACAUGAUACAAGAAACGUACAACAACACCCGAGACAAUAUAAUUACAACACUGCAGAAAAAUUAGAGAUCCAUGUAAUCAAAUAUCUCUUUGUUAAAUUUUAGCUGAACAACUUAACUUAUAGAGUGUCGAUGGUUCAGAUCUUUUUCCUUUUAAUUAACAUGUGAGUUAUUAUGAAGUGGGUAAUUUCUUUUUGCGGUAUAUAAAGUGGGUAAUUCAUAUAGACUAAGACAUGGAAAAAGGGUGUAGGUGGUGCAAAUUCAUAGCAAGUUUUAUAUUGGAUGCACACAAACAACUGUGUGGACACACAAAAAGAAAACAAUCACUUUGAAAGUUUGAAUAGAAAUGUCUAAAUGAACAUCAGAUGGUCUAGUGUCUCCACUGAAAGCACUACAUUGACCCCUCAUUAACAAUUUAGCAAUGAACAAACAAUUCUAGUAUUUAGACAUGAGAAUACCUUGUACAGAAUUUCAAAGCCAUAAAAAACGUUACCACUGGUUUGGGUAUCCUGGAAAUAAAACAGAGGUAAUAAAUUCCUUAUAACUAAUCAGGUGAACAUAGAAAAUUGAUUACCUCUGGUUUGAUCCCAUGUGCUCUAGCCAAAAAUAGAUCAAAUCGGCAGGAUAUCCUAUAAGGAAACAAAUCUAGCAAGGAAACUGAUUAUUAUUAUAUCUAAUUUCCAGCUACCAGUGGUAGGCGCAAAGUGGAACACUAUUACGUAGGACAACAAAUUUGGGCAGGAGGAAGUAUAAUGGUUAUGAAUGCCAGGCAAAGUGUAUUAAGUUCAUAACUAUGAGCAUGCAAAUAAUUUAUAUGAAGGGUCCCUUUUCUUCUGCAUAAGUCAGACAUACUGUAUGUAUGUGUAAUGUGUCCAACUGUACACAAAUACAAAAUAUAUAUUACAACAGAAAAUGCGUGAAUAUGAUGAUGAAUAUCUUAUUCUGAACUCUUUUGCAUCUUGUAUAAUGGACAGGGAUUGAGAUUCUAAUUUCGGCACUACUGGAGAGUAUGUUGUGUGCAAAACGAAACUACAUGCAGUAAUCUACAUGAUUGUUCGUACGAACAGAGAAACAAUUUUGCAUUUAGUAGAUGUGUGUAUGUUUCAGGGUUACUUUCACAAUAUUUAGUUGGUAUAGAAAAAACACUUAAGGCUAGCAAAUAGAAUUAACCUAGUACAUAGAAAGUAGAGAACUGACCGCUGCAGUAAAUUAUGAACUGAUAUCACACAUAAAAUAGUAACAUACCCCAAAAUCUAUUCCUCGCAGCUCCCCACAAGUCUUCCUUCGCCCUCUUCUGCUCCACCAACCCCUGUUAUGAUUUCUCUCCCCUUAAAUCACUCUUAUUACUCCCCAUACCAUCUCUG